GAUGAACGCUGGCGGCGUGCCUAACACAUGCAAGUCGAACGGAGAAUUGUUGCUUGCAACAAUUCUUAGCGGCGGACGGGUGAGUAACACGUGGGUAACCUGCCCUAAACAAAGGGAUAACAAUGAGAAAUCAUUGCUAAUACCGUAUAAGCUUACACUAUCGCAUGAUAGAGUAAGAAAAGAUUUAUCGGUUUAGGAGGGGCCCGCGUCUGAUUAGCUAGUUGGAGAGGUAACGGCUCACCAAGGCGACGAUCAGUAGCCGACCUGAGAGGGUGAUCGGCCACAGUGGGACUGAGACACGGCCCAAACUCCUACGGGAGGCAGCAGUGGGGAAUAUUGCACAAUGGAGGAAACUCUGAUGCAGCAACGCCGCGUGAAGGAAGAAGGUUUUCGGAGCGUAAACUUCUAUCUACAGGGAAGAAAAAAAUGACGGUACCUGAGGAAGAAGCCCCGGCUAACUACGUG
rnacentral:rRNA from 1 species